UAAGGAAUAUUGGUCAAUGGACGCAAGUCUGAACCAGCCAUGCCGCGUGAAGGAUGAAGGUCCUCUGGAUUGUAAACUUCUUUUAUCUGGGACGAAAACGGGAUUUUUAUCUCAAUUGACGGUACCAGAGGAAUAAGCACCGGCUAACUCCGUGCCAGCAGCCGCGGUAAUACGGAGGGUGCGAGCGUUAUCCGGAUUUACUGGGUUUAAAGGGAGCGUAGGUGGGCUUAUAAGUCAGUGGUGAAAUCUCCGAGCUUAACUUGGAAACUGCCGUUGAUACUAUAGGUCUUGAAUUAUCUGGAGGUAAGCGGAAUAUGUCAUGUAGCGGUGAAAUGCUUAGAUAUGACAUAGAACACCAAUUGCGAAGGCAGCUUACUACAUAUAAAUUGACGCUGAGGCACGAAAGCGUGGGGAUCAAACA
rnacentral:rRNA from 1 species